AUUGAACGCUGGCGGCAUGCCUUACACAUGCAAGUCGAACGGCAGCGGGCCUUCGGGUGCCGGCGAGUGGCGAACGGGUGAGUAAUGCAUCGGAACGUGCCAUUGAGUGGGGGAUAACGUAGCGAAAGUUACGCUAAUACCGCAUAUUCUGUGAGCAGGAAAGCAGGGGACCGCAAGGCCUUGCGCUCUUUGAGCGGCCGAUGUCAGAUUAGCUAGUUGGUGAGGUAAAGGCUUACCAAGGCGACGAUCUGUAGCGGGUCUGAGAGGAUGAUCCGCCACACUGGAACUGAGACACGGUCCAGCCUCCUACGGGAGGCAGCAGUGGGGAAUUUUGGACAAUGGGCGCAAGCCUGAUCCAGCCAUGCCGCGUGAGUGAAGAAGGCCUCGGUUGUAAG
rnacentral:rRNA from 1 species